GACGAACGCUGGCGGCGUGCCUAAUACAUGCAAGUUGAGCGAUGAAGAUUGGUGCUUGCACCAAUUUGAAGAGCAGCGAACGGGUGAGUAACGCAUGGGGAAUCUGCCUUUGAGCGGGGGACAACAUUUGGAAACGAAUGCUAAUACCGCAUAACAACUUUAAACAUAAGUUUUAAGUUUGAAAGAUGCAAUUGCAUCACUCAAAGAUGAUCCCGCGUUGUAUUAGCUAGUUGGUGAGGUAAAGGCUCACCAAGGCGAUGAUACAUAGCCGACCUGAGAGGGUGAUCGGCCACAUUGGGACUGAGACACGGCCCAAACUCCUACGGGAGGCAGCAGUAGGGAAUCUUCGGCAAUGGACGAAAGUCUGACCGAGCAACGCCGCGUGAGUGAAGAAGGUUUUCGGAUCGUAAAACUCUGUUGGUAGAGAAGAACGUUGGUGAGAGUGGAAAGCUCAUCAAGUGACGGUAACUACCCAGAAAGGGACGGCUAACUACGUG
rnacentral:rRNA from 1 species